GACGAACGCUGGCGGCGUGCUUAACACAUGCAAGUCGAACGGAAAGGCCCUGCUUUUGUGGGGUGCUCGAGUGGCGAACGGGUGAGUAACACGUGAGUAACCUGCCCUUGACUUUGGGAUAACUUCAGGGAACUGGGGCUAAUACCGGAUAGGAGCUCCUGAUGCGUGGUGGUGGUUGGAAAGUUUCGGCGGUUGGGGAUGGUCUCGCGGCUUAUCAGCUUGUUGGUGGGGUAGUGGCUUACAAAGGCUUUGACGGGUAGCCGGCCUGAGAGGGUGACCGGGCACAUGGGGACUGAGAGACGGAGCAGAAUGCUACGGGAGGCAGCAGGGGGGAAUAUUGCACAAUGGGCGGAAGUGUGAGGCAGCAACGCCGCGUGCGGGAUGACGGCCUUCGGGUUGUAAACCGCUGUCGCCGGAGACGAAGCGUGAGUGACGGUAAUGGGUAAAGAAGCACCGGCUAACUACGUG
rnacentral:rRNA from 1 species